rnacentral:tRNA from 1 species
GGCCCCGUCGUCUAGAGGCCUAGGACACGGCCCUUUCACGGCCGCGACACGGGUUCGAAUCCCGUCGGGGUCACUA